GACGAACGCUGGCGGCGUGCUUAACACAUGCAAGUCGAACGGAGUGGCGAACGGGUGAGUAACACGUGGGUGAUCUGCCUUGCACUUCGGGAUAAGCUUGGGAAACUGGGUCUAAUACCGGAUAGUGCAAGAUGAGCUUGCGGCUUAUCUGCUGGUUGGUGGGGUAAUGGCCUACCAAGGCGUCGACGGGUAGCCGGCCUGGGAGGGUGUACGGCCACAUGGGGACUAAGAUACGGCCCAGACUGCUACGGGAGGCAGCAGUGGUGAGUAUUGCACAAUGGGCGGAAGCCUGAUGCGGCGACGCCGCGUGGGGGAAGAAGGCCUUCGGGUUGUAAACUCCUUUCGACAGGGACGCGGUACCUGUAUAAGAAGCACCGGCUAACUACGUGCCAGCAGCCGCGGUAAUAC
rnacentral:rRNA from 1 species